rnacentral:tRNA from 1 species
CGAGACUUAAUUUAAAUGAAUGUUGGUUUUGGGGACCAAUUGUGGAGGAUAAAGUCCUUCAGUUUCGA